UACAGAGGUCCCAAGCGUUGUUCGGAUUCAUUGGGCGUAAAGGGUGUGUAGGUGGCGCCGUAAGUCGGGUGUGAAAUUUCGGAGCUUAACUCCGAAACUGCAUUCGAUACUGCGGUGCUUGAGGACUGGAGAGGAGACUGGAAUUCAUGGUGUAGCAGUGAAAUGCGUAGAGAUCAUGAGGAAGACCAGUGGCGAAGGCGGGUCUCUGGACAGUUCCUGACACUGAGGCACGAAAGCCAGGGGAGCGAACGGG
rnacentral:rRNA from 1 species